UCCUCAGGUGUCACAAUGGGCAAGUGCAUCUGGAUGUUAACCAGAAGGUUGGUAGUUCGAGCCCACCCAGGGAU